rnacentral:rRNA from 1 species
UAGGGAAUCUUCGGCAAUGGACGAAAGUCUGACCGAGCAACGCCGCGUGAGUGAAGAAGGUUUUCGGAUCGUAAAACUCUGUUGUUAGAGAAGAACAAGGACGUUAGUAACUGAACGUCCUCUGACGGUAUCUAACCAGAAAUCCACGGCUAACUACGUGCCAGCAGCCGCGGUAAUACGUAGGUGGCAAGCGUUGUCCGGAUUUAUUGGGCGUAAAGCGAGCGCAGGCGGUUUCUUAAGUCUGAUGUGAAAGCCCCCGGCUCAACCGGAGAGGGUCAUUGGAAACUGGGAGACUUGAGUGCAGAAGAGGAUAGUGGAAUUCCAUGUGUAGCGGUGAAAUGCGUAGAUAUAUGGAGGAACACCAGUGGCGAAGGCGGCUCUCUGGUCUGUAACUGACGCUGAGGCUCGAAAGCGUGGGGAGCAAACAGG